AUUGAACGCUGGCGGCAGGCCUAACACAUGCAAGUCGAGCGGAGCGGCGGACGGGUGAGUAAUGCCUCGGAAUCUGCCUGGUAGUGGGGGAUCACGUCCGGAAACGGGCGCUAAUACCGCAUACUAUCAGAUGAGCCUAGGUCGGCUUAGCUAGUUGGUGGGGUAAAGGCCUACCAAGGCGCCGAUCCGUAACUGGUCUGAGAGGAUGAUCAGUCACACGAGAACUGAGACAGGGUCCAGGCGCCAACGUGAGGCAGCAGUGGGGAAUAUUGGACAAGGGGCGAAGGCCUGAUCGAGCCAUGCCGCGUGGGUGAAGAAGGUCAUCGGAUUGUAAAGCACUUUAAGUUGGGAGACGUUACCAACAGAAUAGGCACCGGCUAACUUCGUGCCGACCACCGCGGUAAUUC
rnacentral:rRNA from 1 species